UACACUGCUUAACACUAGGAAGAUAGUAAAAUUAUUCUAGCACGAUAGAGAUUUAUUACGCACAAGGUUAAAGGAAGUUGAAUUACAAAUUUAGUUCAUAUACCCGAGAUUACCUGAGAUUGUUUAUUUAAUCUCUUUAUUCUAAAAUGUUUCAGUCAUGAUUCUUAUUAGUUUUUCACAUUAAUAUCAAUGCUUAAAUGUUGACAUACCUUAUAGAUUGCAGAUACGACAUACAAUACUCGAGGGUAGACCAAUUAGAUCAAACCAAAUACAACAUCCAAUACUCGGGAGUAGACCAAUUAGAUCAAACCAAGUAAGAAAUUUAUGUUUGGUAUUGCAUUGAAAAAUUGAUUAUUAGUCCAAUUAGCAUGUCAUUUAAUGUUUAAGUAGAGAUUUAUUAAAUUAAAGUUGAAGGUCAGUAGAUGUUUAUUGAAAUCAAAUUGUAAAGUAAGAUUAAAUGAUAGAAAUAUUAGUUGAUGCUUAGGAGCUCUUGAUUAGCAAAAAAUAUUCUAGAAUAAAGCGAUAGAAAGAUACUUAGAACUCUUUUACAGUGACAGAAAUAGUGGCAAAUAGAGGCUAUAUUGAAAUGUGCAGAUUCUAAGAAUAAAUAUAUAAUGACGAGAAUCGUAUUGCUCCCCACUGGAAUAGCAUCUUCUUAUUCAUUAUUUAAAUUUCAAUGCCUUUCUUA